CGGGGGGGGCAAGCGUUGUUCGGAAUUACUGGGCGUAAAGGGCUCGUAGGCGGCCAACUAAGUCAGACGUGAAAUCCCGUCGGCUUAACCGGGGAACUGCGUCUGAUACUGGAUGGCUGGAGUUUGGGAGAGGGAUGCGGAAUUCCAGGUGUAGCGGUGAAAUGCGUAGAUAUCUGGAGGAACACCGGUGGCGAAGGCGGCAUCCUGGACCAACACUGACGCUGAGAAGCGAAAGCCAGGGGAGCAAACGGGAUUAGAUACCCCGGUAGUCCUGGCCCUAAACGAUGAAUGCUUGGUGUGGCGGGUAUCGAUCCCUGCCGUGCCGAAGCUAACGCAUUAAGCAUUCCGCCUGGGGAGUACGGUCGCAAGGCUG
rnacentral:rRNA from 1 species